AGGUAUAAAAUAUAAAAAUAGAAUAUUUAAAUAUAGAUAAUAUCAUUCUUCCAGCAUCGUCUCUCUUUUUUUUUUAAAUUUGAACAGCAGCCGAAAAAAUGUUUUAUUAGAUACUCAUUCUUUUUUCAUACAGGUUACUCAAAUUGAAGUCAAAUCAUAUUCGUCAAACUAAAAAUAACAGUUGGAGGUGGUCCUGUAUGAAAUGCUAGGUUAUGCAGACCUAUUCACAUACUCAAAGAAAAAUUUCAUACGUAUGGAUCGUUCAUGCUUUGGGAACAUUUUGUCACAUUCGCGAACACGGUAAAGUAUGAUUAAUGUUAAUAUUUAAAUAGUUUUUAUGUAGAGAUGAAAAUCCUAGAAAAAAAUGUUAAUAUGUACCAAAUCACUGAAUGUUUUUUCUACAAAAUCAGAUAAGCAUUUCGAGAUUGAUUUUAAAGACACGAAUGCCACAAGGCCUUAUACUUAUAUAUAUUUUGAGAUUUAUGUUAGAAUGUGAUCUCAUCUUUUAGAAAUCUUUUUUUAGUUGAUCAAUUUGAUCAAACCGUUACGGUUAUUGAAGAAAAGAAAGGCACGCCAAUUGAAAACAUCAAUAAUUUUCAUUUUUCAGUCGAUUUGAUAGAAUACUAACCUUUUAUCAGGCUUAGCUAUACGAAAACUUAUAGGUUCCAUAAAUGGUAAAUAAACUCAAAUCUAUUAGGGCAUCCGCAGCAAUCGCGAGCAAAGUGAAAAUGCUCACGAGUUUAAUCACUUUUAUACCGCACCGGGGGUUAGUAUGAGGGUGAGCAAAAUAGGGCCGUUGCCGUCGGGACCGACAAAGUCACCAAAUUUGCUCACUAGAAAGGGGCGAGAGCAAACAUGCACUGAAAAAAUUCUACCGUUUAAUCCUGAGUAAACAAACUAUAUUCAGCGUGUAGAGUUUGUUGACAUUCAGUUCAGUUCAAUUUGUCACGGACCGACCGGACGAACACGGGAGCAGUUUAAGCGCUAAAUAAGGUGAAUACUGGGCCGGGACAACCAGCACCACAUCGUUAACAGCAGCAGCGGUAACAUAAUUCUGAUGAGAACUUCCUCACUCACGAGUGCGACCACAGACACCGGCGGCUACCGAUCAUAUCGCCACCACUGCCAAAUCCAACUUCAGUCGGAAGUGUUCCCUCACAUCACUACCCUUUUUCCGAUGGAUGAGCACUGAGCACAUAACAGUAUAUACACUCCAGGUAAAAUACAUAAUUGACGCAUUCAAAAAGAACUUCCGUCAUGCCAUCGAAUCGUGGCCAGUGGAAACAGUCGAACGAAAUUCUGCGGCUGAAACGGCUCUAUCAGGAACAAAAAGCUUUGCAGGCACGGCUUCAGCGGUCAUCGGACUCCCGGGUCAACGGUUCAGGACCGUGUGAGUCUGGGCGGGGAUCGUUUUCCGGAAUCAGAAACAAAGAAUCCAUUUCCAGAAAUGAUAUGCCAGCAGACACAAAUGGAAGUUGAUCUGGUGAACAUUUUAACUGGCCAGUAAGAGCACACCAAAAAAGUGCUGUCAAUCGAUGCCACAGUUGCGGCCAAACCUCUUGAGCCAUGUUUUCACAUCGAUCCACACCAAAAACUGAACGUGAAUCCAAUGCUAGAGGUUACAGAACCACUACCAAGAGCCUUGGUCCAAGCCUCAGUAAAAAUUUGCUCAUUCAUUCGAGUCAGAGGUUUGCAUCGGAAUCAAGAACUGUUGGUUUGGACAUUUCACCUGGUUCAAAAUUCUAUCCAUCAUCCGGCCCGACAAACACCGUAGCAGGAAUUUGCAUGGAUUCGAGGUACAGUAAUCUGGACUGGCAAAGCCAAUGACGGUGAAGAUUCUAUAUAAAACUGCUCCGGACUCGGAUCGGAUCGGCUCGAGUGUUUUUUUUAUAUUAUGGACCGUUCGAACGAAUUCUCAGCAGCAGCUGAGAAACCAGCUGCAAACAAAAUGCGCACUUUCUGGCUGGGAUGUUUCGCAAACCAAACCUGCCGACUAAGCUGGACCCACUCAAGCCUCCCCCGCUUCCGAGCGGUGCCUCGGUCAAAGAACACCGACAGCAGCAGCAGCCCACCGAUACAGCAAAAGUAAAAAAAAAUCCUCCAUCACCGGAACAGGCAACACUAGCUUCCAUCGCAAAAGCUGAUCGUCAAGAACCUGGAACGAAUGGUCUACAACAAAGAUUCCGAAGAUAUACUAUAUGAUCAGCGGAUAGAGUUCGUAAAAAAUAAUAAUAAUAGGAGGGAGCAUUAUAUUGCCUAAAUAGCUAAAGUUUGUGUCCAUUUCAAAGAAUGCGAUACUUUAAAAAUAAAAUAAUAAGAUAACGCAAAUUGUUUGCUUUUGUUCAAUACCCACUGGAUGGCCUUUUAAUGGAAUUGUGGAAAAAAAUGGUUUAUCGGAUGAAUAAAUAAUCAACAUUUUUUAUAUGAAU